rnacentral:rRNA from 1 species
UGGGGAAUUUUGGACAAUGGGCGAAAGCCUGAUCCAGCAAUGCCGCGUGUGUGAAGAAGGCCUUCGGGUUGUAAAGCACUUUUGUCCGGAAAGAAAUCCUUGGCUCUAAUACAGUCGGGGGAUGACGGUACCGGAAGAAUAAGCACCGGCUAACUACGUGCCAGCAGCCGCGGUAAUACGUAGGGUGCAAGCGUUAAUCGGAAUUACUGGGCGUAAAGCGUGCGCAGGCGGUUUGCUAAGACCGAUGUGAAAUCCCCGGGGCUCAACCUGGGAACUGCAUUGGUGACUGGCAGGCUAGAGUAUGGCAGAGGGGGGUAGAAUUCCACGUGUAGCAGUGAAAUGCGUAGAGAUGUGGAGGAAUACCGAUGGCGAAGGCAGCCCCCUGGGCCAAUACUGACGCUCAUGCACGAAAGCGUGGGGAGCAAACAGGAUUAGAUACCCUGGUAGUCCACGCCCUAAAACGAUGUCAACUAGUUGUUGGGGAUUCAUUUUCCUUAGUAACGUAGCUAACGCGUGAAGUUGACCGCCUGGGGGAGUACGUCGCAA